AUUGAACGCUGGCGGCAGGCCUAACACAUGCAAGUCGAGCGGAGCGGCGGACGGGUGCGUAAUGUCUGGGAAACUGCCUAUUAGUUGGGGACAACAUCUCGAAAGGGAUGCUAAUACCGCAUACUAAUAGCUUAGCCUAAGUCGGAUUAGCUAGUUGGUGGGGCAAAGGCCUACAAAGGCGACUAUCUGUAGCGGGUCUGAGCGGAUGAUCCGCCACACUGGGACUGAGACACGGCCCAGACUCCUACGGGAGGCAGCAGUGGGGAAUAUUGGGCAAUGGGGGGAACCCUGAUCCAGCCAUGCCGCGUGUGUGAAGAAGGCCUUAUGGUUGUAAAGCACUUUAAGCGAGGAGGCGUUACUCGCAGAAUAAGCAACGGCUAACUCCGUGCCAGCAGCCGCGGUAAUAC
rnacentral:rRNA from 1 species